rnacentral:rRNA from 1 species
CCCCUAGAUGUUCUGGGCCGCACGCGCGCUACACUGAACAGUUCAACAAGUCUUAACCUUGGCCGAUAGGUCUGGGUAAUCUUUGAACGCUGUUCGUGAUUGGGAUAGACCUUUGCAAUUAUGGGUCUUCAACGAGGAAUUCCUAGUAAACGCAAGUCAUCAGCUUGCGUUGAUUACGUCCCUGCCCUUUGUACACACCGCCCGUCGCUACUACCGAUUGAACGUUUUAGUGAGGUAUUUGGACUGGACCUUCGGAGGUUCGCGCCUCCGUUGCUGUUCGGGAAGACUCCCAAACUUGAGCGUUUAGAGGAAGUAAAAGUCGUANCA